rnacentral:lncRNA from 1 species
UUGUCUGUCGGAGGAGUAAGCCUUUCAAGCUGUGACAGAUUGCCGACGAAGUAACCGGCGAAGCAGUUAGCAGAGACGUAAGUGAAGGGUAUGUUAGCUUCUUCUAUUGCUUUCCUCACUAUCAUUUUCUGAUCAAAUGUCUCUCUUCCUGGUUCUAACGCGUCUCCCAUCAGGGCUGGAUCCAUACCAAAUUCUGAUGGCAAGAAACGCUACAACCAAUUUCUGUGUUCAGUCAUUUUCAAAGCAUAUAAUACCCGACAAACAGAAUUGAUUUAAUUUGAAAUAGAAAAAUAAUUAACCGAUGAUAAGAGUUUUAAGUUUGUACAUGGCACGACGAGACAAUUAAUUCUAUUUUUCCACAAGCAUCAUAAAGAAAG